rnacentral:rRNA from 1 species
AACGAACGCUGGCGGCAUGCCUAACACAUGCAAGUCGAACGAGACCUUCGGGUCUAGUGGCGCACGGGUGCGUAACGCGUGGGAACCUGCCCUUAGGUUCGGAAUAACUCCCCGAAAGGGGUGCUAAUACAGGAUAAUGUCUUCGGACCAAAGAUUUAUCGCCUUUGGCUGGGCCCGCGUUGGAUUAGCUAGUUGGUAGGGUAAAAGCCUACCAAGGCGACGAUCCAUAGCUGGUCUGAGAGGAUGAGCCGCCACACUGGGACUGAGACACGGCCCAGACUCCUACGGGAGGCAGCAGUGGGGAAUAUUGGACAACGGGCGAAAGCCUGAUCCAGCAAUGCCGCGUGAGUGAUGAAGGCCUUAGGGUUGUAAAGCUCUUUUACCCGGGAUGAUAAUGACAGUACCGGGAGAAUAAGCGCCGGCUAACUCCGUG